AUGCAGCUGUAAUGUUACACAGCCUGCAUUAAUGUGUAAAAUAAAAUAUUAACGUGUCACUGCCUGUUGUGGUUCUAGUUUUCAUUCAUGGUAAUACCUAAGCCUUUUGUUUCAGUAAGAAGCACGGAGCAGCAGAUCAGCGCUCUUUCUGCCUCCGUCAGCGUGCAGCCUUUGUUGGGAGAAAGCGAUGAUUCAGCCACUGGGCUAAUCUCAGAGGCGACUGUGUGUUUGCUAGAAAGAGUAAUGUGCUGCAUUUUAGGAUUAGGAAAGAGUUUGUUCAUCGUUGUCCUUAAAUUAUCUGCCAGGGAGCAAGGCCCUCCUCGUGGCCAGUGAAUCAGGAGCAAUGAACUCUGGAGCUUUAUGGAGAGGUUUGAUGCUGCUGCUUUGUGGGGUGAGUUGUCAAACACGUGAGAGGUGACAGCUGUGCUCUUGUGGCUCAAGUGUACAACCACAAUAGAUCAAACACGUGGCAAUUCUGCAUCUGCCUGCCAUGGUUUCUCUGGCUGGUUUUUUUCCCUCUUACUCCUCCUGAAUGAAUUGGACUUUUUGUGUCCUUACCAGCCUUGGAAGCUUCAUGUUUCUUUCUCAUUUUUAACACAGGUGUGCCAGUUGUGGAUUCCAAUGGUUGUUGUAUGUCUUACAAGAUACAAGCUCCCCCAAUCCUUUGCCAUGUUAGGAUCUGAAUGACAGACAGCAACGUGAUUGUGAGAUUACAACGGCUCAAUAAAUAAGUGGUGAGAUUCCUGUUUCCACUGGAGCACAAUUUCCAAACAGAAGAAGAGGACAUCACCAGAGGCACUCCAGAUGUGUAAUGUCCCUUAUUCAGCAAAUCAGAGGAACAGGUGCUGAAAUACUGGCUCUUCCAGCAGUCCCAGUAGAGUUAUCACAGAAAAAUGUUCAUGUUUACAACAAAAUGAAAGGAAAUGGGCAACACUGAAAAAAAGCACAACCAAGAUCUUCUAAGUUGUGUAUAUCACUGCAAUUUUUCUGCACUUUAUUCAGUUAGACAAUAUAUUUGGUGCAAUUCACAAAGUGAGUUUUCAAAUCCAGUUAUAAUGUUUGCAUGAUACAUUUUAAUGGUGAAACUCUUCCACCUUAACAUUUUUAAUCUAUAUCUAUCUACCUCUCUGUCUCUCUCUCUAUCUAUAUUGCAUAUAGAAUUAGGAUUAAUUUUGUAUUUUCUUUAUUUUUAUGUAUUCUUAGGUUUUGUAGUCAAUAUUUUUCUAGUAUUUAUCUAAUCAGUAAGGUAUGGUGUUGAAUAGUGUCAUUGGAAGUGGAAGCCUAAACAAAAUGCCUCUCUUGAUUUGAAAGGCAAGCCUUCUUUCUGUACUUUAGCACUGCUGUAUUUAAUGUAGUUUCAUGUCUUUUUGUAUGUUUUAACCAGGUCUGCUAUCUUAAAUCUUAGAUUUGAAAGAACACUAUAGAGCAUGAGAUCCUUCCUAUGACUAGAACUGUACAAAAGAACAUGUCUGUAUGAAUUAAUACACAGAACAAGGCCUUGGGAGGGGAAUCAUGACAGCUCUUGAUAUCUAUACAGACUAACAAUUAAACCCCAGGUAAGAAUCUAUAAUAGUGCCAAUGCAAAAUUAGAAAAUAAUCACAAUAUGUACAAGUAGCAGUGCUAAAAGCAGGGGCUUUGCUAGAAUUCAUUAUUAAUAAAAAAGGAAAAAUGAAUAAUACAUUCUGGACUUCCUAAACUGACAAAAUUAAGACAUAAAUUAUAUUUACUUUUGAAACAAUGUAUGACACCACUUUAAUAUCUAUCCCCAAAUAGGAAAUUAAAAAGUUUUAAUAUUUAAGAAAUAUAAAUUUUAAAGUCAUGUUCUCUGAAAAAAAAUUAUUACAAAUACUAUUGACUACUGCUUUUGAGAACUAUGUGGAAAACAAUUUAUUGCUUUUUUAUUUAGUUUUUUAAAUUAGAUUUCAACAGCAUUUAGACAUAUAUAAAGUGAGUAUGGAUCAGGUUUUAUUGUUCCUUGUGUCAUCAAGCAAUUUUCCUUCCUUGUUUCCUCAAGGUUUUACAGGUCAGCAGAGCAUCAAAAAAUCACUAAACAUGAUAGAAAGUGUUUUGAAAAAUCUGAAAAAAUUGACAAAGCGUUCAAAGGGAAUGAUAUUGUCUGAAGAAGCUACUUGACCUGUUCAGGCUAACACAUCUGCCAUUAAAAUACCCUUACCAACCAUUCUUUCCAUGCUGUGGAAAGCAGGAGGAGGCACAGUGACACGCUGUGCAGCUGCUGUGGCGUGUGCCAAAGUUCAGACGGAGCUGAGCGAGGCUUGGAAGAUACCUUUAGCAUACAGAUGAGUGAUGCCAGCCAGAGCACUGCUCUGUCUUUUUACUUGAAAGUGAUGCUAUCCCAUAAAACAAAAUACCUUGUAUCAACAAGCACUGUUUUGUUCUGCACUUGAAUUAUGCUGAUUUUAAUUACCAGUCAGAACGUUAAAACCCGGAUUGCUUUCUGACCCUCUGUAUGUUGAAUUAUUGGGAAACAUUUUGUUUGGUUUUAGCACUGUUUGGCACCAAUUUUAUUCUUUCCAAUUGUAUGCCAUUACAAAGUACAGAUCUUUCAAUUUUCUGCUGUUCUGACAUCAUCAAAUUCUAGUCACUACCCUGUUCUACAGUGCUUUUGUUGCUAAGAGCCUCAACUCCCAAAGCAAAAGGAAAUAUGUGCAUGUGAAGAAAAGAAUCGGGUGUUAUUUCAUAAUUCUCUUGCUGUUUGUGGUGUGCUUCAUGUCAGAGAUUAUUUUAUUUAUUAUUUUAUUAUUAUUUUAGAAGAAAUUUUCUAAAUCUCAGAGCUCUCUGGCUUAAGCCCUUGGGAAUGAAACAGACCUUUCUAGACCUUUCUGGUUUGCAGAUCCCAAGGAUGCACCCAGUUACAGCUUUGUUUACUAAAGAGCCAAGGACACAUUUAACAAAGCUGCAGUACUGCCUCCAUUAUACUCCUUUGUGCACGCACAUCAGAGGGAAGAAAAUGCAUGGAGGAAUGUGAGGUGGACACUGAAGGAAGCCAGGGGAGGAUAACUGUGGGGAGGAAGACAAUAAAGUGACAGGAAAGGAAAAGGUCCUCAGUAGCUUCUGGACAGUUAUAAUCAGGACAGUAAUACCAAUGGAGAGGGUAAUGCUGCAGGUGAGGUGUAAAUAGAUGAAAGAGACAGCAUGUGAUGAGAGACACAAAUGGAGAAGACAGAAAAACUGGAAGAAAACUGAAGAAGGGACAGGAAGAGGUUCAUGAACAGACAGCUUUCCAGAAACAAGCCUUUGUUCUGUUAUGGACAUACACCAGCCAUGAUAAAGGUUUCAUUCUUGGCAGAAGGAGGCUCAGCUCUGGGAAAGCACGAUUCUGAAAUUACAGGCAUACUUUGGAAAGGUUACUGUGUAUUUUUCUUUUAUGGUCACAUCCCUCUUGCAGAUUUCAGUGGGACCAGUCAUCUGACAACAAAUUUUUACCAUACUUGAAGUGCCACUCUGAAAGUAAUUCCAGAAGGAGAAGGGUACAGAACAGGUGUGUACCACUCAGCUGAGGAUAGAUUACUACACACUUUGACUACUUAUCCUGGGCUGCCUUCCAAUUACUGCCCUGUUGUAACAAAUCCCAUCCAUUUUAUCCAAAUUUGCUCUUCAUUUAUGGAAUGAAUGGGUCUAAUUGACAUGAAGUUGAAAAUCAUCAAUAUAAUCAAGAAGUUUUAUUGCAAUUAAAGGAUCGAUGAAGAACACAGCCCUAUUUUUCUCUUACAUAGUACAAAUAAGAUGAUUCAGCAGAAGCCAACAGAAUUAUGCUGCUACCUCAAAUGCUACAGUGGUACCUCCCCAUCCUCCCUACCUUUGCUAUGCAUAUGUGUUGAUAUGGAAUACACUGUUAUUUUUUGCCUUGUGUUGCUAAAUGUCUGUUCUGCAGCUCACCUUAGCAAGCCCAUUGCCAGUACUUCCCUUCUGUUCUGAAGCCUCACUUCAGAAGCUGCAGCUGUUACCAAAGAAAGUUCUUGGCAAUUGCAGGGGCAACUUCGUUUUGCAGGAGCUGGAAGGUGAUGGCUGAACAUCACAAGGGAGGGAGGAAGAGGGGUAUUAGUUGUGAAAGCCAGAUUGUGGCCACUGUACAGCAGCCAGUUGGCUGUGAUACUGCUCUGGUGGCUCUUUAUCCCACCCUUUGGCUAUUCCAUUUCUGAUGCAGAAAAAGGUGCUCCUGUUGCAUCGUGCAAGUACAGUAAGCCUUAUACUUUUAGGACUUGCUGGAAAUGCUCAAAGUAAUGGUGUGGUCUGUUCAUGGAACACUUUGUAGAAGUGGUAGAGCACUCCCUCAGUUUUGUAGGCAUUACACUACCUAUAGAAUUUGGGCCUAUGGUGUUUGCUCUGAGGUCUCUGGGAUUGCUGGACAUGGGAGAUCCAAGGUUGAAACUGCUGCACAUAUGCAAUGAUGAGAUUAUUAGAUACCAGAAUCCUAGAUGUACACAGUUCAAAAUCCUAGAUACACAGUUCUCAAAAUCUCCCUGGAAAACAAUUCUGGUUGGAAAAGAGGACAGACAACCAAUCUAAGACAACCUAGAUAUGGUAGCCAUAUCGAGCCAUGACUCGUGUCCCUUCGACUGCAAUGCCUUCAUGCUUCCCCAUAGCUAGUUCUUUGUUUGCAAAUUUUCUUUGUCAAAAGUGUGAGAGGUACAAUGCUGUAUGCUCAUGUAGAGAGCAGCUGCCAGUCAGUGCAUCACCAUUCUCACCUUUACAGUCAGCAGCUCUCAGCCCAGCAGGUGUUAUGGGGCUGUUGAAAGAGGCCAUUGCCCCUGGUCACGAUCUGCUGCGUGCUCAACAACGUGCUGAUCUCAGGCCAAGAAGAGAGCAGUGAGGCAGGACAAACUUGUUUUUUUUCACCCACGCAGCACACUGGGCCAGAGGAAUUCUUUGGUAGGCUGUAUGCUACACAGGCCUGAUACAGAGGCAGGCCUGAGAACAACCAUUUAUGUCUUUACUGCCACUGCAGGUCCUCUGCACCCCAGAAGUUCACUGCUUGUCCAUAUGGAAUACUGGUGUCACAGCUGUUACAACUUAAAAGAGAAAAGGGUACAUGUAAAGAAACUUCGAAGUCGCUGAUACUGUAUUAAGCAAAAGUGAGGGCUGUUCUUUGGAAGGUGAAUUAAUGAAGAAAAAAUUCUCCUGGAAUUUUUAUGGUUUAUGUGAUCUUAAAAGUGGUUUAUGAUUCUACCCUAGAAAUUGAAGAUGUAGUAGAAAAUAGGUUGAAUAUUCAUUUAUAUCAAGAAUGAUAUGACAUCAGAGUGAAACAUGAUGUUUUAAUCUUAAUUUCACUAAGAAAUUAAGUGAUUGUGUUGAUAUUGUGUUCAUAUGGUAUUGCUGUCUUUAUUUGUCCAUCUGUUUUUGAAAUGGAAGGAGAUUGGAAGCAGGAACGGGAUCCCCUUCACUUGUCUGAGGACAUCUAAUAAAAUUUUGUUAACAAAAAUCAAUUCAGAAGCUGGUCAAUAAUAAGACACAAGUCCACAGGAAAGCAAACUUCAGUAGCUCCGAUGUUUACACAAACACCUGGUCAUUGGUUCAUGCCCAGCAAUGGAUUAUGCCAAGCUGGCUGCAAACAGUUAGAGAUGCUGGCACUGUGCCCUGCCCACCUCCCACAGGUUCCCACUUCUGCAGCAGGAAUGGCUCAAUGCCUCUUUAAUCAGCACCUGGCUUUCUGCAUUUUGCAGAUUGGCGCAUUAAGGCAAGCCAACAUCAGUUUCUAGUCAGGCUUAAGCCAGAGCAUUCCUGCUGUGGGAGAUGUCUUGCAAGAGAGAUCAGUGUACAUAGUGGGGUAGAUGACUUGUCAGCUGCACCUUAAACUACAGGAUGAGAUGUAUAUUAGUACCCGUAUCAUUAUUUUGUUAGAGGAGAAUUUUUAAUUUAUUAAUCAGAAAUCAUUAAUGGAAAUGUAAAAUUGAGCUGGUUUAGGAUGUGGAUGAUAGCAGAAGAAUGCCAAGAGGAACAGUCAUGACCAUUACGUUUUCUAGUUGGUGAAAGACUAUGUCUAUCUAUUGUAUUUCAUUUUGUCAAUGUAAGUUUGCUUCUGUUUUUCAACACAACAGCUCAAAAAUGUAAAAUAAAAAAAUAAUUUGUCAUAAAUCACAGCAUUGAAUUUAGUAAAUGGCAAGUAUCAGCAGUACCUGU